GAGCCAAACCUCUUGCUGUCGAGUGGAGAGAGACUCGAAGAGUAAGAGGAAGGAAGAAGAAGAAGAAGAAGAAGAAUGGCGUCGGCGAAGGCGGCGAAACCUGUAGGGAUCAUGGAAAAGAGCAAGGAAGCUGCGGCCAUGGCCGGCGAGGGCGCGCCGAGGGCGCCGGCCUCGAAGAAGGCCCCGAAGAGAGCUGGGCAAAAGCCUCGGGAGCCCAAGAGGAAGGCGAAGGGUGGGAAACCGGCAGCGGCGAAGAGUUCGAAGCAGCAAUGAGCGGAGGUGGGAUUCGGGGCUCGUGGCAUCUGCUCACGCUAUCUAUGGUUGUCCUCUUGCUUCGUCUUAGGCUCCCUUGUGAUAAUAACAUGAUGCCUCGUCCUGAAAUCUAAAGGUUGGGUACUGUUUGCUCGGUGUUCUCCGGUUUUA